GGUGAAAGAGCUGCUCCUGCCUGGUGCCCGUGAAAAUGCUUCACAGAGGGGUGGUGAGAGACAGGAGGAACAGAACGCAGAAAGCAUGGGCCCAUUCUCUCCACAGGCACCAGCACCAGCCGCCAGCUGCCCAUCCUGGCUGAGGUUCUGUGUCAGCCUCCCUGCCCUCCCACAACUCCAUCUCAGCUCAGCAGCCUCAGUCUCUGGCUGUGCAGAUAAUUUCUGAACAAAAGCAAGACUAACAAAGUCCCGGCGGAGGGCGUGGAGGACUGGGUCAGGGGCCAAAAAUGCCAUAGUAGACUUGACACGCCAAGGGACACUGAAAGGAAACCCAACAGCUACUUGUUUCAGCCCAUCCUGAGCUCCUUGAGGUCAGCGGGAUGUAUAACUGGUUUGACCUCUACGACCUGCUGUGGUGUCAGGCUCACUGUGUUACCUCCACCUCCAGCCUCUCUUCCCUCUGCCUGUCCCCUUGUGGGGAAAGUUGGGAGCCUUAGGUAGGGUUAGAUUAGGGAGCCAGGCCUUUUUAAGAAGAAGAAAAGAAAUAGACUCUGUAUCACAGUGAGCAGCCGAGCUGCCUGCCUGUGGUUUUGACACCUGCCUCUGUGCAAGUGACACUGUCCCUCCUAGUGCAGGAUGCUAUGACUACACGCAUUCCCCACUUAGCACACCAGACCUAACCCUCCAGCAACAAGUUCAAUAACCAAUCAAGUAGUGACCCUCAGGAGUCGGGUAGAGACAGAGUCCCCACCCCAUAAAGUAGGACUGCUGCUCCAGAUUCAGCAGGGACCCAGCCCUCACCCCCCACUCCUUGGAGUGGCUUUGUAUCACUUCCUUUUGCAAAUAAAUGUUGCUUUGUAC
rnacentral:lncRNA from 1 species